rnacentral:tRNA from 10 species
UGGGGUGUAGCCAAGCGGUAAGGCAACGGGUUUUGAUCCCGUCAUGCGUAGGUUCGAAUCCUACCACCCCAGCCA